rnacentral:tRNA from 1 species
GCCGCCUUAGCUCAGUCGGUAGAGCACGAUACUCGUAAUAUCGGGGUCAACGGUUCGAUUCCGUUAGGCGGCUCCA